UUUAAAUUAGGAUCUGUAGAUGCACGUAUUUAGCUACAUCUAGAAAUGUGUUACACUCAGUUUCGAGGACAAAAUCGAAUGCCCUCUAUACAUGUGCCAAGACCAAAAUUACAUGUCACACCCGGAUUUGAGGGGUCCAAAAUCUGGGCGCGAAAUAAUCACCAAGUGUGUUACGAUCAAGUCUCACACAUAUGAUGACUUAUGGUACAGAAACGAAUGUCACAUCAUUAAUACAUAACGGAGUUCUAUACAAAAGAAUUAAAUAAUUACAUCAUAUAAAGACAACGAUCCAACAACCAAAGCUGACCGGAGACGACAGCCUAGACCUCUCACGAACUCAUCACAACAUCCUCCAUGCGCCUCAUCCUGUGGUACCUGUUCUUGACCUGGGGGGAAUGUGAGUACAGCAAGGGUGAGCUCACAUACAUUCAUCGCUCAACAAAUUGUGGGGAAUAAUGUGCAUGAACUCGCUAAAGGUGGGAGCCUAUGUGAAGUGUAAGGCUUACCAAAUGAGAUGGUUAAAGCUGAGUAUUGCUUUUAGAGUUGGUCAAAAUUUUAUUAGCAAUUACUAAGUAUAAGUAGAUACCAAUCCCAAAUAAUAAGAGAUCACAAUUGAUAAUAACACCCGUGAUGCAAUGCAUAUGACAAAUUAAGUUUAGUUCCAUAAAUUAAUCAUCUGAGUGUCCGAGCCGCUCAUGUCCAUGAGCACGGCUGAUAUACCAGUUUUAGACUUUGUAGAGGUUGUGCAUCUUUACCCACAAGUCGUGUUACCCAUUUGCCACGGGGUUGUACGGACCCCAUACAACUCUACCAAGGAAGCGAGGCAGAGUAGCACUACGAGGCCUUUCCAAAGUUCCACUAGUUCGAGAAAACCCGAUACGGAUUCAGGAAGAAGGAAGCAUAGGAAUCCCUCGUUCGAAAAGCUUUACAGAUAGUUCGACCGGAGGACCUCCCUAUACUCUAGCAGCGACGUCUCCCCACUUGCCCCUCUCGGGUAAGGUAAUCUCUCUCUAGCUUUCCUAAUUACUUGGCCAAGGGCGUCCCAUUCCACCCUUGUGGUAGCACUGUUUUCCCGAGUGGUUCUCCAUGUUCCAAUUAACAAUAUGAUCUUAUCAUGAACAAUAAUUAAACAACAACAUAAUUGGAACAUGACCAUAAUAAAACAUUAGUUUCCCAAAACCAGAUAGAGCAAUUGCAAAUCUACCCAAUAAUUUAUCUGUUUGCAAGGUGGAGGAUAAACAAUGCUAGGGAAACCUAUUAGGUCCCAUCAAAUUAACCUGAACAUGGCACACUGAUUAACAAGAACAUUAUUAGGUAAAGACAAGUGAUCAAUGGCACAACUUGUCUUAGACUCAAUAUUUCUAGGUGCCAACUUGGUCUUCAAGUGCCUCGUAACCUCACUGCUACUCGUAGCAAUACAAACAAACAUGGCAUAGGAAAAUAUUAACAUCACAUCAAACAUGAGAACAUACUGCAUAAUAAUGAUCUACACAUCGCAAUGAGAUCCCAGGUUCGAGAACCACUAAAUUCGGAGCUACGGUUAGUAAGAUAUGGUUUUCGGAAGAUUACCAUGAUUAAAUGAUACGAACUAAAUUCUAUGUUGAUUAAUGUAAAUCAUAUGAGAAAAGUUAUUAAAGAAAUAACUAAUUCAACUGUAAUCUAAAUUAUAACUUUAUUAUAGAUCGGAUUAUAUUUAUGGAUAGAUUAAGUAGGAUAAAUCUAAUAACCAUAGGAUAAACAAAUAUCUAAUUAUAAAAGUAUGUGAUAUGAUACAAUUAAGGUUGUUACUGCAUAGGCAAUUUUAUUACAAAGCUAACGCAAUUGGAAUAGAUUAAGUCGAAGUUAAAACGAGUAAAAUAUGAGUUUUCUAAGUUUAAUGAUUUAUUUUUUACACUAUAAACCAUUUUUAGAUUUUAUUUUAUAUUAAUUAUGAUUUCCCUCGACGGUGGCCAUCAUUUACAAUAAGUCUAGGGUUUUCUUUGUAAAAACAAGGACUUAUUCGUAAUAGUAUUUGCACUUGGGGGAACCGUGGGUUGAAUACACGAUUCUGCAGUGACUCUUUAGCAAAGUUAGACGACCGAAGGGGUAUGGGACGAUUUUGGCCAUUGGAUUUCAAUCUGAGGGUUCGGAUUAGAUGUACAUCACUAUGAACCAUUAUACGAUUGUGAUCGUUGAUCAAAAGAUCUGUGGCACAGAUUAGUUUUAAACGAACUCUCAUCUUGUCCCUCCAUCUUCCGAUCAAUGGUCGCGAAGCCUUCUAGCCGAACGGUAUGCACGGUCCGAUCCGAGCCGUUAGCGGCUGGAUCAACGGUUGUCGCUGUGUCAUCCUCCGACCUCCUCACCACAGACCAAACGCGGCGCGCCGCCCUACCUCACGGCAAAAGGGCGCACCGGUGACGAGUCAGCCAUGAAUCGAUGCCUAAGCACUGUUUCUACCGGAGCCACGUGACGAGGAGGAUGAGGCGGACUUGGAUGAGGACUACUUACUGGAUGGUGCGGCAUGGAGGGCUCUGCCCUCUGCACGCAGCGGACCAAUGGCGGAGGUUCAACUCCGGUGAGUAAUUCCGGUGACCUUAGUGGACUUCCCCGCCUGAGUCGGCCAUGGCUAUAUCCAGUGAACACCUGUGAACCUGCACGGCCACCGCACGAGGGAAAUCAUUGGUGUAAAUGUGGGUCGACGACGGCUUCAUUUUCCCUCACGGAGCCGCAACUAGGAUAGUUCUUGAGGCGACGAAGGAAGGAGGUGGCGGCUCGAGCUGGAGGACAAAGGGGUCGAGUUUUAUAGCCCGAGCAAGGAGCCCCGCGAGUUUCGCAACCACCCCCGACAGAUAUGGUGUGCGCAUGGUUGGGGAUCCGGUCAACACAGCUGAUCUCGUGGUGUCUGUUUGGGAGGG
rnacentral:lncRNA from 1 species